UUGGCAUGGUACCCUCUGCCCCAGAUCCGUCCGGUAUGAUUUCAGAGGAGGUCUCCUCAUGUUGCUUAUUCCCCGCUUCUUUAGUUGCGAGACCAUCGGUUGGUAGCUGGCGAGAUCCAUGCGGGGUGGAGGACGAUGAUCUUGCGAGGUCCAUGUCUUCUGAAUAGGUACCGCUUUGGAGGACCUUGAGUGAGACCAUGCAAAGCGGUCGAUACCAGUCCUUAGGUGGUCCUUCACGUGAUUCGGCGUCCGCGCCCUCUGAACCGAUC
rnacentral:lncRNA from 1 species